UAUACAUUUUUUUUUUGUCAUUUUAGCUUAGUUGUUUAAUUCAAUUAGUUUUAGUCUAUUCUUAUGAUAUUGGUAAUUAUUUUUGCUAAUUUAGUGAGAAACAAUGAAAAUGACAUGCAUAAAACCCAUGUAACUAUCUAAGAAUGAAAACGGUAUGUAUAAGACCCAUAUAACUAUCUAAAGUGGCCAGCUAUUUUUUUCACUUAGCAAUGAUCUUUAGAUACAGAAUAUUAUUUGUUUUUUUUAUAAAACUAAUUGCAUCAGUUUUUAGUGAAUUGAUAAAUAAAAAUAUGAAUUUGUUUAGAAAAAGAAAAAAAAAUUAUAUUAUCAACAAUUGGAAAAUAAAAUAGAAAUAAUUUUUUGGCCUAAUAAAAUUUCUAUGUAACCUUUAUGCAUGCAAUUCAAUUUCUCAAUCACUAUAUUAAUCUGAGUUUUCCAAAAUUCAGGCAACGUCUCUACUCAAACAAGCUUUGGACACUGGCAAUUACAAGCCUCUUGUUGAUUCCAAAUUGCAAGACUAUAACAAAGAUGAAAUGACACGCAUGAUUUAUUGUGCCAUAGCUUGUGUCUAUAAACCUGAAAGUUCACGCCCAAAAAUGAGCCAGGUAAGUCCACAGGAGCUAGGUAUAUAUCAUGCUCUAUUUUUGAGUUCUUUCUUUUACCAAUCUCAUUCAUUUUCUCUAUAAUAUAGUUUUGGGGCAACUCAUUCAGGAAAAAGAUAUCAUUAGAGUGUCUUCACGAGAUUAAUGGUUUUUCUGUUUUUAAGUAUACUGAAAUGAGAGUUAAAAUGUAAAUAUUUUGUUACAGAUAUUUGAAGUCCUACAAGGAAAUAUGGCAGUGGAGCGUAUAUGGGUGAGCGAGGACGUCAAAUUCAUAUAUGAUGGAGCUCCAUAUUACUCAGAUUCUAACUCAACUGUUCUACCCGAUACAAUGCAGCCUCGGCUUAAAGAAAGUGAAUAGUAGUUCGUUUUUGUUCAACAGCUUUGGAAACUCCUGAACUGCUAAACGACCUUGCUUGUUGGAUCAGCUCUUUAGGGGUCAAGUCUUUUCACAAUCCGUUUUUGAGGCUACCUUUUUUAAGUAAAUCCUAUAAAGGCUUUUGUUGUUGUUUUAAUUAAGACUUGAACUGUGAAUAUGGUUGCUUUGUUCAUUACUUUCUUUGAUAAAUAAAGAAAUUGAGUGUUUGAGCAGAUGUAGAAAAUGGUUAGAGGUGGAUGGGUUAUGAUAACAUGAGUUAUUCUGAAUUGUGGGUCAUCUUGAAUUUCAAUUUUAUUUUUUGCAGAUAAGUUUAAAUUGAGUUAUUGUGAGUUUGAUUCGUGUUAUUCGCUUGGUCACUGUAUAAACGAAC
rnacentral:misc_RNA from 1 species